AUUGAACGCUGGCGGCAGGCUUAACACAUGCAAGUCGAGCGGAGAUGAGGUGCUUGCACCUUAUCUUAGCGGCGGACGGGUGAGUAAUGCUUAGGAAUCUGCCUAUUAGUGGGGGACAACAUUCCGAAAGGAAUGCUAAUACCGCAUACGCCCUACGGGGGAAAGCAGGGGAUCUUCGGACCUUGCGCUAAUAGAUGAGACUAAGUCGGAUUAGCUAGUUGGUGGGGUAAAGGCCUACCAAGGCGACGAUCUGUAGCGGGACUGAGAGGAUGAUCCGCCACACUGGGACUGAGACACGGCCCAGACUCCUACGGGAGGCAGCAGUGGGGAAUAUUGGACAAUGGGCGGAAGCCUGAUCCAGCCAUGCCGCGUGUGUGAAGAAGGCCUUUUGGUUGUAAAGCACUUUAAGCGAGGAGGAGGCUACCUGGAUUAAUACUCUAGGAUAGUGGACGUUACUCGCAGAAUAAGCACCGGCUAACUCUGUGCCAGCAGCCGCGGUAACAC
rnacentral:rRNA from 1 species